UGAUUAACAAUGAAGACAAUGAGAAUAUAUAGAUAUAAGAGUGGGUGGGUUUUGGUAAUGUCAAUCAGCUCAAGGCCUAAAUAGAAGCUAAACAUAGUCACAUUCAAUCCAAACCAAACGUUGAGGGAACUUACUCUCUGAAGGAGGAUUUUCGAGAUUGGAAGUGUGUUUUCUGAAUAGGAAUACGACCAGGAAUCCCAAUGUAAGCUAUGCUACCGAUCCGAACAUUGUAAGUGCAACCACGUCUACUAAGGUACGCAUUCUGACUCAAUGUAAAUGUAUAGUAAGAGUUUGAAAUAGAGGAAAUUCAAACCCUUGACUUGACUUACUUACCACCCCAUUUUCAACAAAGAUUCGAUGGACUGACUCAAACAAAUGCUUUGUCUCCAGCGAUCGAGUAUUGUUUUCACAAGUAAGCAAUGGGUGAAACCCAACAACUAUACGCCUUCAUUUCAAAGAAACAAGAGAUAGAGAAUAGUCAGAAACGGAACGAGAAGUUUGGAGCACAUAAAGUAAGAACCGCAGGAAGGGAAACAACGUGUGAUGUAAAUGAAAUCAUUGUUAAUAUCUCAACAUCAAGCUUAAAGGCAUUGAAAAGUAGUUGGAUUAGAAGUUGAAAGAUUUAAGAGGUUGUAACACCA
rnacentral:lncRNA from 1 species